ACGCACGCUGGCGGCGUGCUUCACACCUGCCAGUCGAACGGAAAGGCCCUGCUUUUGUGGGGUGCUCGAGUGGCGAACGGGUGAGUAACACGUGAGUAACCUGCCCUUGACUUUGGGAUAACUUCAGGAAACUGGGGCUAAUACCGGAUAGGAGCUCCUGCCGCAUGGUGGGGGUUGGAAAGUUUCGGCGGUUGGGGAUGGACUCGCGGCUUAUCAGCUUGUUGGUGGGGUAGUGGCUUACCAAGGCUUUGACGGGUAGCCGGCCUGAGAGGGUGACCGGCCACAUUGGGACUGAGAUACGGCCCAGACUCCUACGGGAGGCAGCAGUGGGGAAUAUUGCACAAUGGGCGGAAGCCUGAUGCAGCAACGCCGCGUGCGGGAUGACGGCCUUCGGGUUGUAAACCGCUUUCGCCUGUGACGAAGCGUGAGUGACGGUAAUGGGUAAAGAAGCACCGGCUAACUACGUG
rnacentral:rRNA from 1 species